GAAUAUAUUCAUCUCAAAAUAUAUAAAAGCAAUUUUAUUACAUUACAGUGUUUCUAUGUGAAAAUUUGGAUUAGUCAUGUUCGAUACAACUAAAUACUUUCCCCACUCAGUUGAUUCUGAGCACCCAUCCCUGUCGGAGCCCAAUGAGUUCUCUUCUCAGGACAAUCUGGUCACCUACGAUAUGGUCCAUAAGCUGCAGGGAAGAUCUCCUGAUCAAAUUGUCGAAAUGGCAUCAGAAGCUGACCUACAUACAGGGCACGAUGUCACUCCAUCUCCUCAAUUAAUGAUUAUUUUUGAAGAAGGUGACAUCAACAGUGCACUGCACUUUUUAAUUGAGUCGGCUCAGAAUCCGUUUUCCUCGAAUGCGGUGGCCAUGGUUCUGGUUGAGGAGAAAAUUCGCGGGGAGAUCGUCGAUAGAAUCCUGCCUAAGCUACAUCCUCUUAACGUCCAGUGACACAAAUACAUGGAAGUUUAUACUUGAUUAACAAAGCAAUUUGUCUAUUUUGAGACUUAAACAGAGGAAAAGAUUCCCAUUAAUACAUUUGAAGACGCAUAUACUACGCCCAUACUCAAUGCAAGUCACUGCCUUCCGAGUCUCGAGUUAGCUGUCAGUUUCAAUCGUGUCUGCAGAACUUGUCACUCAUUCAAUAGUUUUGAAAAUUACGAAUGUCACUUACAUCCCAACAACAAGAACCACUGCCUUGCACUUACAGCUUCCUCUUUCCUCAGGCACAUGUGUCUGUGAGUAAGCAUCCUUGCCAAGGAUGCGGACUGAGACAAUGUUGCCGGAGACGGAGAAGGAUACUGCCAAGAAGACAAAGUCGAGUCAGAAGAAUGACGCGGCAGCAGACGCUGAGAAUUAAAACAAGGCCAAGGAAUAAAAUAAUAAAAGAACACGAAGCAAAGCAAAAGAAAAAGUGAAGGCUCCCAUACCGUUCCAGCCUCUCGUAUUUGUGUGCGGAUGACCCAUAAUAGAGAAGGGUUUUGGGGCCACUACACGGAAGAAAAUAUAUGAGGGGUAGUUUCAUUUUAUACCCGUUACUCGUAGGGUAAAUAGAUUCGUUGAAAAGAAUGUAACACGCAGAAGAAAGUGUAAAAAGUAUAAAGUAUAUAUAUUCGCCCAAAAAUCGCCAAAUACUGCUA